CUCUUAUCGAGAGAGGCGGAGGGACAGGCCCUAUGAUGCCCAGCAACCAGUAAGUGUUAAGCUUACUAAGGUGCUAAUUCCUGCAGAUUCUUACUUGGAUCUGGCAGAUAAGGG
rnacentral:ncRNA from 2 species